rnacentral:rRNA from 1 species
AACGAACGCUGGCGGCAGGCCUAACACAUGCAAGUCGAGCGCCCGGAUUUAUCCGGGAGCGGCGCACGGGUGAGUAACGCGUGGGAACAUGCCCUGAAGUACGGAACAACCUGGGGAAACCUUGGCUAAUACCGUAUACGCCCUGAGGGGGAAAGAUUUAUCGCUUUGGGAUUGGCCCGCGUUGGAUUAGCUAGUUGGUGUGGUAACGGCGCACCAAGGCGACGAUCCAUAACUGGUCUGAGAGGAUGACCAGUCACACUGGGACUGAGACACGGCCCAGACUCCUACGGGAGGCAGCAGUGGGGAAUAUUGGACAAUGGGCGCAAGCCUGAUCCAGCCAUGCCGCGUGAGUGAAGAAGGCCUUCGGGUUGUAAAGCUCUUUCAGCGGGGACGAUGAUGACGGUACCCGCAGAAGAAGCCCCGGCUAACUUCGUGCCAGCAGCCGCCGUAA